rnacentral:rRNA from 1 species
CGGCCGCGGUAUCCUGACCGUGCGAAGGUAGCGUAAUCACUUGUUCUUUAAAUAAGGACUAGUAUGAACGGCAUCACGAAGGCUGUACUGUCUCCCGCCUUUAAUCAGUGAAAUUAAUCUCCCCGUGAAGAAGCGGGGAUGAAACCAUAAGACGAGAAGACCCCAUGGAGCUUUAAACAAAGGGCAUUUAAUAACCCAUAACAAGAGUUAAGCAUUAUGACCCCCUAGUUUUUGGUUGGGGCGACCACGGAGAACAACCCACCCUCCAUGCUGAAAGAUAUAAUCUUAGCCUAAAACAACCCAUUUAAGCAUUAGAAUCCUAACACCCAUUGACCCAAUUCACUUGAUCAACGAACCAAGUUACCCUGGGGAUAACAGCGCAAUCCACUUCAAGAGCCCCUAUCGACAAGUGGGUUUACGACCUCGAUGUUGGAUCAGGGUAC